rnacentral:rRNA from 1 species
GACGAACGCUGGCGGCGUGCUUAACACAUGCAAGUCGAACGAAGUGGCGAACGGGGGAGUAACGCGUAAUCAACCUGCCCUUCAGCGGGGGACAACAGGUGGAAACGACUGCUAAUACCGCAUACUGAAGGAGGGGAUUGAGUCUGAUUAGCAUGUUGGAGGGGUAACGGCCCACCAAGGCGAGGAUCAGGAGCCUGUCUGGGAGGAUGAACGGCCACAUUGGGACUGGGACACGGCCCGGACUCCUACGGUGGGCAGCAGUGGGGAAUCUUCCGCAAUGGACGAAAGUCUGACGGCGCAACGCCGCGUGAGUGAUGACGGCCUUCGGGUUGUAAAGCUCUGUUAAUCGGGACGCGGUACCGGAAUAGAAAGCCACGGCUAACUACGUGCCAGCAGCCGCGGUAAUUC